UAAACAGUCAAAGAUCAUUACAUUAAGACUUCGGUUGAAUUUGUGACUAACAAAUAGAUUCAAUGAUAUUGAACCUUUACAUCAAAAAUAAUCCCAUGUAGAAAUGUUUUUUCAACUCUUUGAGAGAUUGCAAUCAUAAAAAUUUGGACACCCUAAUAAACAUAUUUUUAGGAAAAAACUCACAUAGUAAAAUCUGAUUUAUCUGUGAAAUUUAACACAGAAAAUAAUUACUUUGUCAAAAUAACUUUAUUGUCCCUCUCUGGGGAAGUUUCAAUGCAACAUCAACACAAUGACAGGCAAUCAAAUCAAAUAGAUUCACACAAAGAUAGAAUAUAAAUUUAAGCUACAAGCAGAAUUGGUGGCCCUCACAGCUCAGUGCUGCUCCGGCCUCUGACAUCCUGCAGAAAAACAGGCGACUUCCUGUUUGGAAGGGGUUGGGGCUAAAGUGAUGUCACCAAUUGACCAUGUGAUCGUGAGGAGGGCUGGUCUGUAAUGAGACACAAAAGGUCUGAUGCGGCUGUGUCCUUGUAUGGGGAAGUUAUUGCAUCUUGAUGUUUCAUGGCCAAUGGUCAGAUUUGAGCUUUGGCCACGCCCACAUGCUUAAAUGUACAGAAACGUUUUUCAUAACUUUUGGUCUUCAAUGUGUCAAGACUGUGUUGAGUGAUUCUGAAGUUUGUGUAUCAAAUGUUGUAGCAGGAGAUCGCUCAGAUACAAUAUGCAUAAAAAAGCUGAUCCUUUAAAGCAUUCUAGGGGGCGCUGUAGAGUAAUUAGGCCAUGGAAUUUAGAGCCAAACAUACGGCAAUGGUGUCGUUUGUGACUUUUCCACACUGCCACACCCACAUCCUCUCCUUCCCCCCUUUCCUGUCAGCCUACUGUGAAAGGCUGACUAGAGCCCACAAAAGACCCCCUGGUGGGGAAAAAAAAAGUCUGUCCGUCCGUUUAGCACUACAUUUCCCAUAAUGCAUUUGUUCAUUUUCAGUUUCACGUAGCUGAGCAAGAUGUUUUCUGUGCUUUUGUUUGGCUCGGUAACAUAAAAGUAGCAUCCACCAUCAAUCCUCCCUUAAUCCUGUGUGGAUGAAACCUGUGUUCAUUUUUAGUACAUAAGUUUACAUGUUCAUGUCCAAUGUUUGUGUUUAUGUCAGUUAUUAGCCCAGGAGGUGAAAUCAUUCUCGUGUUUCUCUGGCUACCGAUAAUGUGUACCGAUAAGAGUUUACUUCUAAUAACUCAACUUCUAUGCUAUACUUUGUUAGAUAUAUAUUGUCAUUAUAGUAGUAUAUGAGGAAAUGUACCGCUAAUUCAUGUAUUCUGACAGUUUUUGUCAUUUGUAUGUUUAUUGCAUUUGACCGAUAAUUCAUGUGUGGUGUUAUGGUGCCCUCCAGUGGAUUUCUCUGAUACUACAGGCCGUCUUCAUCCUGUAUCUAUGUGUAGCCUUUUUUGCACACAUGGCUAUUAAUAUGCGCCUUUAUUGUUUCUUCUGUUUCACACACUCACGCAUACACAUGCAAACUGACACCCACAUACAUAUACAUACAAAACCAAAUAUAAGCACCUCGUUACUAUCUCUACCUCAUCAUCAUCAUCAUCUGUACCAUCCUCUCCCAUGUUCCUACUAUUAGUCCAUCAAUAAACUGGUGGAGUUGACCUUUUCCUUCUGACCGAGGAUGAUUCAAUUGAUGAGAAAUCUGAAGUUUGCACAUGUUAGACGCACACAGUCCUCUUUUAUAAAUCUAGAUUUUUACUGACUGAGUUCCGACAUUCCUUUAUUUUUAAGCAGUUUAUGUUCUGUAUUCUCUUUUUGGUUAUAUUCAGCUAAGCACACUGAGGUUCUGUAGGAUUUUGGUCUGAGCGAUGAGAUUACCGUGGUAGAAAGUUGAUUCUCUGUCUGCUGAAAAAUGUCUAUUCAUGUGUGAUUUGGAUCAUCAUCCAGCUGUAAGACCCAAUAACGACCCAUCUGCAGUAAUCUGGUUGGGGCCAACAGAUUUUUAACUAAAGAUGCUCUGGUGUUUCAGAGGUUUAUGAUGACAAACAUUUUUACAAGGUUUCAUUAGGUGUUAAAUAUUUAUGAAUCUAGUGAAUUUUUUCAAAACAGUUGGUUCAGUUUGUGAAAACUGUUCAUAUUUUAUAGAUUUUUGUUACUAUACUGAUGCACUGAUAUUCUGAUUAUUUUCAGCAUAAAGUUAUAGCUGAGAUUUAGAACUAUUACCAAUUAGUUUAUAGUUGCUGCUUAAUAGAAAUCUUGACAUAUUCUAAAUCCUAUAAUUAAAUCAAUCAGAUUUCAGAGAAAGAAAACAUUUAUUUAAAUAAAGUGAAAUCAGGUUCUUCCAGCAGUGAUGUCAUCGAGGCUUGACAUUCAGGUGGAAGUGACAUCACCAGCAGGAAAGCCAUAUGGGCAUUUCAGAUU